rnacentral:lncRNA from 1 species
GGCGACAUUUUUUCUCUCUUUUUCUACAUAUUUCCUUUGGUCUUCUAACGCAAUUGCGGCCACUAUCCUUGAUCUUGUAGUUGCAAUGAGAUUCACCAAUAUAUCUCUUUCAUAACCAGUCUUCAUUGUCCCAUCGUGAAUCCGAUUUCCAAGUUCAUGUAUCUGGUAUCUUCUUGCAGUUUUUCAGCUAUUUCAUCUUUGACAAUACUACUAUAAAAAGCAAAUUUAUCGCGGAUAUUUGAAACUCUG